GACGAACGCUGGCGGCAUGCUUAACACAUGCAAGUCGAACGGGCAGGCCCUGCUUUUGGGGGGUGCUCGAGUGGCGACCGGGUGAGUAACACGUGUGUAACCUGUCCUUGACUUUGGGAUAACUUCAGGAAACUGGGGCUCAUACCGGGUAGGAGCUCCUGCUGCAUGGUGGGGGUUGGAAGGUUUAGGUGGUUGGGGGUGGACUCGCGGCGUAUGAGCUUGAUGGUGGGGUAGUGGAUUACCAAGGCUUUGACGGGUGGCAGGCCUGAGAGGGUGACCGGCCACAUUGGGACUGGGAUACGGCCCAGACUACUACGGGAGGCAGCAGUGGGGAAGAGUGCACAAUGGGCGGAAGCCUGAUGCAGCAACGCCGCGUGCGGGAUGACGGCCUGGGGGUUGGAAACCGCUGCCGCUUGUGACGAGGCGUUAGUGACGGUAAUGGGUAAAGAAGCACCGGCUAACUACGUG
rnacentral:rRNA from 1 species